rnacentral:rRNA from 1 species
GCAUAUCAAUAAGCGGAGGAAAAGAAACCAACAGGGAUUGCCCUAGUAACGGCGAGUGAAGCGGCAACAGCUCAAAUUUGAAAUCUGGCUUCGGCCCGAGUUGUAAUUUGUAGAGGAAACUUUUGGUGAGGCACCUUCUGAGUCCCUUGGAACAGGGCGCCAUAGAGGGUGAGAGCCCCGUAUAGUCGGAUGCCGAUCCAAUGUAAAGUUCCUUCGACGAGUCGAGUAGUUUGGGAAUGCUGCUCAAAAUGGGAGGUAAAUUUCUUCUAAAGCUAAAUAUAGGCCAGAGACCGAUAGCGCACAAGUAGAGUGAUCGAAAGAUGAAAAGCACUUUGAAAAGAGGGUUAAAUAGCACGUGAAAUUGUUGAAAGGGAAGCGUUUGUGACCAGACUUGCGCCGUUCCGAUCAUCCGGUGUUCUCACCGGUGCACUCGGGGCGGCUCAGGCCAGCAUCGGUUUUGGUGGGGGGAUAAAGGUCCAGGGAACGUAGCUCCUCCGGGAGUGUUAUAGCCCUGGGCGUAAUGCCCUCGCUGGGACCGAGGUUCGCGCAUCUGCAAGGAUGCUGGCGUAAUGGUCAUCAACGACCCGUCUUGAAACACGGACCAAGGAGUCAAGGUUUUGCGCGAGUGUUUGGGUGUAAAACCCGCACGCGUAAUGAAAGUGAACGUAGGUGAGAGCUUCGGCGCAUCAUCGACCGAUCCUGAUGUAUUCGGAUGGAUUUGAGUAAGAGCGUUAAGCCUUGGACCCGAAAGAUGGUGAACUAUGCUUGGAUAGGGUGAAGCCAGAGGAAACUCUGGUGGAGGCUCGCAGCGGUUCUGACGUGCAAAUCGAUCGUCAAAUCUGAGCAUGGGGGGCGAAAGACUAAUCGAACCAUCUAGUAGCUGGUUACCGCCGA